rnacentral:rRNA from 1 species
GGGGAAUCUUGCGCAAUGGACGAAAGUCUGACGCAGCGACGCCGCGUGGGCGACGAAGGCCUUCGGGUUGUAAAGCCCUGUGGGGCGGGACGAACAACUGUCACGUGAAUAAUGUGGCGGCUUGACGGUACCGCCUUAGCAAGCACCGGCUAACUCUGUGCCAGCAGCCGCGGUAAUACAGAGGGUGCAAACGUUGCUCGGAAUUACUGGGCGUAAAGCGCGUGUAGGUGGUUUCAUAAGUCGGGUGUGAAAGCCCAGGGCUCAACCCUGGAAGUGCACUCGAUACUGUGAAACUUGAGUACUGAAGAGGAGAGUGGAAUUCCCGGUGUAGAGGUGAAAUUCGUAGAUAUCGGGAGGAACACCAGUGGCGAAGGCGACUCUCUGGGCAGUAACUGACACUGAGACGCGAAAGCGUGGGUAGCAAAC